rnacentral:rRNA from 1 species
AGCUCGUGUCGUGAGAUUGUUGGGUUAAGUCCCGCUAACGAGCGCAACCCUUAUCAUUAGUUGCUAACAUUCAGUUGAGAACUCUAAUGAGACUGCCAGUGAUAAACUGGAGGAAGUGGGAUGACGUCAAAUCAUCAUGCCCUUAUGACCUGGGCUACACACGUGCUACAAUGGCCGGUACAAAGAGUUGCGAAACUGUGAAGUUAAGCUAAUCUCAUAAAGCCGGUCUCAGUUCGGAUUGUAGUCUGCAACUCGACUACAUGAAGUCGGAAUCGCUAGUAAUCGCGAAUCAGAAUGUCGCGGUGAAUACGUUCUCGAGUCUU